rnacentral:rRNA from 1 species
AAAAACAUAGCCUUUAGCCAAACAAGUAUUAAAGGUCUAGCCUGCCCAGUGAAUUAUUUCAACGGCCGCGGUAUCCUAACCGUGCAAAGGUAGCGUAAUCAUUUGUCUUCUAAAUAGAGACUUGUAUGAACGGCUAACUGAGGGUCCAACUGUCUCCUUAGACCAAUCAAUGAAACUGAUCUUUCAGUACAAAAGCUGAAAUAAACACAUAAGACGAGAAGACCCUGUGGAGCUUAAAACCUACACUAUAAACGCCCAUCCACCCCUAAAGGGACACCUCCCUCCCCAUAGUAAAAAGUUUUUAGUUGGGGCGACUUUGGAACAAAACAGAACUUCCAUGCCAGGGACCCCUCCCUAUAAAGGCUUACAUGCCAAAAUAAUACUCUUUUGACCCAGCCUGUCUGAUCAACGAACCAAGUUACCCCAGGGAUAACAGCGCCAUCCUCUUCAAGAGUUCCUAUCGACAAGAGGGUUUACGACCUCGAUGUUGGAUCAGGACACCCCGGUGGUGUAGCCGCUACCAAAGGUUCGUUUGUUCAACGAUUAACAGU